UUGUACGGAUUGACUUCGAAA
rnacentral:piRNA from 1 species